ensembl:lncRNA
CUUUAUUUCCAUGGAGCAAGCGCCUUUUAAUUUCAUGGCUGCAGUCACCAUCUGUAGUGAUUUUGGAGCCCAAGAAAAUAAAGUCUCUCACUGUUUCGCCAUCUAUUUCCCAUGAACUGAUGGGACCAGAUGCCAGGAUCUUAGUUUUCUCAAUGUUGAGUUUCAAGCCAACUUUUUCACUCUCCUCUUUCCCUUUCAUCAAGAGGCUCUUUAGUUCCUCUUCACUUUCUGCCUUAAAGAUGGUGUCAUCUGCAUAUCUGAGGUGAUUGAUAUUUCUCCCUGCAGUCUUGAAUCCAGCUUGUGCUUCAUCCAGCCUGGCAUUUUGCGUCAUGUACUCUGCAUAUAAGUUAAAUAAGCAGGGUGACAAUACACAGCCUUGACGUACUCCUUUCCCAAUUUGGAACCAGUCCAUUGUUCCAUGUGUGGUUCUAACUGUUGCUUCUUGACCUGCAUACAGAUUUCUCAGGAAGCAGGUCAGGUGGUCUGGUAUUCCCAUCUCUUGAAGAAUUUCCCGCAGUUUUGUUGUGAUCCACACAGUCAUGGGGUUUAGCGUAGUCGAUUAAGCAGAAAUAGAUGUUUUUCUGGAACUCUUGCUUUUCGAUGAUCCAGCGGAUGUUGGCGAUUUGAUCUCUGGUUCCUCUGCCUUUUCUGAAUCCAGCUUGAACAUCGAAGUUUCCAGUUCACGUACUGUUGAAGCCUGGCUUGGAGAAUUUUAAGCAUUACUUUACUAGUGUGAGAGAUGAGUGCAAUUGUGUGGUAGUUUGAGCAUUCUUUGUCAUUCCCUUUCUUUGGGAUUGGAAUGAAAACUGACCUUUUCCAGUCCUGUGGCCGCUGCUGAAUUUUCCAGAUUUGUUGGCAUAUUGAGUGCAGCACUUUCACAGCAUCUUCUAGGAUUUGAAAUAGCUCAGCUGGAAUCCCAUCAGCUUCAUUAGCUUUAUUCAUAGUGAUUCUUACUAAGGCCCACUUGGCUUUGCACUCCAGGAUGUCUGGCUCUAGGUGAGUGAUCACACCAUCAUGGUUAUCUGGGUCAUGAAGAUCUUUUUUGUACAGUUCUUCUGUGUAUUCUUGGCACCUCUUCUUAACAUCUUCUGCUUCUGUUAGGUCCAUACCGUUUCUGUCCUUUAUUGUGUCCAUCUUUGUAUGAAAUGUUCCCUUGAUAUCUCUAAUUUUCUUGAAGAGAUCUCUAGUAUUUCCCAUUCUGUUGUUUUCCUCUGUUUCUUUGCACUGAUCACUGAGGAAGGCUUUCUUAUCUCUCCUUGCUGUUCUUUGGAACUCUGCAUUCAGAUGGGAAUAUCUUUCCUUUUCUCCUUUGCCUUUCACUUCUCUUCUUCUCAGCUAUUUGUAAGGCCUCCCCAGACAGCCAUUGUUGUACAUUGUUAGAAAUAUACUUAAUUUUUGCAUAUUAAUUUUGUAUCCUUCAGCUUUACUGAAUUCAUUUAAUCAUUCUCAUAUUCUUUUUUUUUUUUUUUUUGGUGGACUCUUUAGGAUUUUCCGUGUCUAGUGUCAUGCCAUCUGCAAACAGAGACACUUUUCCUUCUUCUUUCCUCAUUUGGAGGGCUUUAUUUCUUUCCCUUGUGCGGUUGCUCUAGCUAGCACUUCCAGUGCUGAAUAGUGUAAGAAUGGAGAGAGUGGGCAUCCUGUCUUGUUCCUGAUCUUAGCGUGGAAGUUUAGCUAGGAGCUUUUCACCUUUGAGCAUGAGGUUAGCUGUGGGCUUGUCUUACGUGGCCUUUCGUAUGUUGAGUAGGUUCCCUCUAUGCCUGCUUUGUUGAGAGCUUUUGCUUUUGGCUGGUGUCAGAGGUGCUGACAUGGCCACGUGUGGACUGGUGUCUGGGUGGACGUGCGCCCAGAGAGGGUCCAUUGGAGCCUGGUCAGGAGGUGGACGUGUGCCCAGAGAGGGUCCACUGGAGCCUGGUCAGGAGGUGGACGUGUGCCCAGAGAGGGUCCAUCGGAGCCUGGCCAGGAUCCAGAGGCCGGGGCGAGGACGUGCUCAGAGGCCAGGAGGGGCUGGCCCCCUGCUCCGGCCCAAGCCUGCGGUCACUCUCAGGGUCACCCUCGUGAGAGCUGACCCGCGGGUGUAUUCUCCUCUGAAGACAGUGAGUGUCUGAGCUUCUGGCCCCACAAAGGCGUCUGAGUUCUUUCCUAUAAUCCUUACAAUUCUCAUGUAUCCUGUCAUCAAUUGCGUAUGAACUCGUCUGUGCAGAAAUCACUCCUAGCUGGAAUCUCCUGUGAUUCUGUGGGUACAGUGACCUAAGAGAAGUGACCUCCUGCAGUGAGGAAAUGCAGAGUCCACUCGGCCCUGGGCUCAGCACGGGUGGCCAGGGCCCGCUGCCUCGGUUCCUGAUCCUGAAGACGCCAGGGGUGCACCUGCCGAGACGUCUCUGAGGCCCCCAGCCCUGGCAUCUGCGGGUGUAGCCCACCUUGUUGACAGAGUGAGGUGCACGCAGGGACCACCCCGCUUCUCUAGGGGCCUCUGCUGCCCCCACGGAAAGCCAAAGUCCUUGGACUCGGUUGUCCAGUCAGAGUCUGGGCUCCUGUCUGGAGAGCUGGCAAGGGCUCUGGGCACUGGUGGCUGGAUGCUGGCCACCGGCUUCCUGUCGCCCCGGCGUGGCGGGAAGGUGCUGUCCGUUCCUGUGUGAGGUGGAAACCCUGUCCAGGGAGGAGACACCACACCCCGCUGGCAUUUAUUUGUGCAUUUGGCUGCAUGAGGUCUUAGCAGGGGCAUGUGGACCUUCCGUCGUGUCGUGCUGACUCUCCAGCCAUCGUGUGCAGAGUUCGUUAGUCUGCAGCUUGUGGGAUCGUAGUUCCCUGACCAGGGAUCGAAUCUGCGCCCCCUGCAUUGUAAGCGGGGAGUCUUAACCACUGGACCACCACGGAGGUCCCUACCUGUGUCUUCUGAAUCCCACCCAUCUAUCCCCCUGACCCCAGCUCCUAGCACUGUUCUAGGUAAGCAAAGGUGUUUAAUAAACACUUGUAAACUGCUUGAAGAAUUUAAGCGGUGUUCUCAGAGCUCACUGGAUUCAGACAUCACUGGAAAGCAAUUGAAGUUGUGCACAUGCCUUGGGCUCUUAGCCAGGAUGGCUGUGACCUGGGCGCAAUCUACCCAUCAUGCUAGAGGACACAUUCCCCACUUCACGCUGCCUCCCUGGGCCUCACCUGGCCAAGGGCUCUGAGUCACUGCAUGUUUGUGACGAUGGCCCUUUUAACCAAGAGAGACCCAACUACAGAGCCAGGUUUUUGCAGGAAUCUAUGUCUGUUGAUCAUUCAUAUAAGGGCUUUCCUCGAUCUUGCCUUUCAUUAAGAAUGACAGUCCAGAGCUUCUCCGGCUCUGGAGACAGAGCCAUCACCAGGGCAUGGGGACCAGCCCCCACACCCCCUCUGUUGCCCAACUCCUCUGCUCCAGGAAGGCAUCUGUUCUGGCUCCUCUCAAGCCAGGACUUGGGAAAGUCACUUCUCCGGGGUUUCUUAGUGGUAAAGAUGCACCUCUGUUAUCCUGAGGGGCUGCAAUGAGUUGGGUUUGAGGCUGGAUGUGAAGUGAUAAUGUUGAGAUCCGGCCAGAAAAGAGGUCCAUCUGGCCGUCGUUCUGAUUGUCCCAUGACCAGCUUGUUUGUUUCUGCUGGAGGCUGUCUUCAUGCACACACGAGUGCCCCCAGCAUUGCCCCUACUCAUCCUGUGUUGUCCACGGUGGAGUGUAUGUUCUUUCAAAGAGCGUCAAGGGCUUCCAGUUGUUAGGAGGUGAGACGGAAAACUGUAGUCUGAGAAGCUUCAGCAACACUUCUGCGAAAGCACCUUGGUUCUGUGAACUGAAUGGAAGGGUCUGAGAGAAAGCUAGAGAAACUUUGGUUGUUUGCUGAAGUGUUGGCUGUAAGGAACUUCCCUGGUGGCUGGGAUGGUAAGGAAUCCGCUUGCAAUGCAGGAGACCUGGGUUCAAUCUCUGGGUUGGGAAGAUCCCUGGAGAAGAUAAUGGCAACCCACGGCAGUAUUCUUGCCUGGAGAAUCCUGUGGGCAGAGGAGCCUGGCGGGUUACAGUCCAUACAAAGAGUCAGACAUGACUGAAUGACUAUCACUUUCACUUUUUAGCUGUAAUAGAGGCUUCAAGUUCAAUGGACUGAAUUAGGAAAAAAAAUAUGUUACUGGGUGUAAUGCCCUUGAUGUCCCAUGACACUUUCUUAAAAUGUUGGCACCCUCCCACCUCCAUAAAGUGCAUUAAGAUGGCAAAAAACACAUGAACACAUAAAACAGAGGUAUUGUGAACAUUUUCAAGAAGAAUUACGUUUUUCAGUGACUUAUUUUUUGUGGACAUGGACAUUAUAGUUGUGGUUAUAGACCAAAACAGUGAGAAAGUCAAAUUUUCAAUGAAUAAAACCUUUUUUUUGUGAUUGCCCCAGAAAGACAAAUGCUUCUUGAUAGUCUUAAGAAACUGCUAUGUCUUUCUAGAAGAGAGCUGGAAAUCCCGCUCUUUGGUAGGGAGGCCAGACCACCCCCCAGGUGAAAGACUUGAAUCGCAGUGUCCCCAAGAAGGGGGCCAAGGAUUUAGAGUCAGACACACGAGUUCAUUUCCCUGGAACACUGGGAGCCAAGCUCGAAGGCACAGUGUGGACGCUUUACUCUAAAAUGACAGCGGAGAUGCGGGAAGGCAACCCUGUGACUCAGAGCUCUCUGCAGUCAGCAGCUCUUCUGGACAGAGCUCUGCAAAUACGCUCAACUGGCUCUUUAAUUUCGAAGCUCCUUGGGGCUCUGGCAGUCUCAGAACCACUGACGCUGAGGAAAAUUCCUGGCUUUCGGGGCCCCGGAAGUCUCGGGAGGGUGGAGCCCGUCAGGUGCGGGGUGCAGCGUGGGGCCUGCUCUGCAGGUUUACGCCACCGCAGCGGCAGGACGGCUGCCGUGACUGCACCCGUCUGCUGUCAAAGAG